UGGCUCAGGACGAACGCUGGCGGCGUGCUUAACACAUGCAAGUCGAACGGAAAGGCCCUGCUUUGUGGGGUGCUCGAGUGGCGAACGGGUGAGUAACACGUGAGUAACCUGCCCUUGACUUUGGGAUAACUUCAGGAAACUGGGGCUAAUACCGGAUAGGAGCUCCUGCUGCAUGGUGGGGGUUGGAAAGUUUCGGCGGUUGGGGAUGGACUCGCGGCUUAUCAGCUUGUUGGUGGGGUAGUGGCUUACCAAGGCUUUGACGGGUAGCCGGCCUGAGAGGGUGACCGGCCACAUUGGGACUGAGAUACGGCCCAGACUCCUACGGGAGGCAGCAGUGGGGAAUAUUGCACAAUGGGCGGAAGCCUGAUGCAGCCAACGCCGCGUGCGGGAUGACGGCCUUCGGGUUGUAAACCGCUUUCGCCUGUGACGAAGCGUGAGUGACGGUAAUGGGUAAAGAAGCACCGGCUAACUACGUGCCAGCAGCAGC
rnacentral:rRNA from 1 species